rnacentral:rRNA from 1 species
CCUACGGGGUGCAGCAGUGGGGAAUAUUGGACAAUGGGCGAAAGCCUGAUCCAGCCAUGCCGCGUGUGUGGAGAAGGCCUUCGGGUUGUAAAGCACUUUCAGUGGGGAAGAAAGCCUUGGGGCUAAUACCCUCGAGGAAGGACAUCACCCACAGAAGAAGCACCGGCUAACUCCGUGCCAGCAGCCGCGGUAAUACGGAGGGUGCGAGCGUUAAUCGGAAUUACUGGGCGUAAAGCGCGCGUAGGCGGUCUGAUAAGCCGGUUGUGAAAGCCCCGGGCUCAACCUGGGAACGGCAUCCGGAACUGUCAGGCUAGAGUGCAGGAGAGGAAGGUAGAAUUCCCGGUGUAGCGGUGAAAUGCGUAGAGAUCGGGAGGAAUACCAGUGGCGAAGGCGGCCUUCUGGACUGACACUGACGCUGAGGUGCGAAAGCGUGGGUAGCAAACAGGAUUAGAUACCCCAGUAGUC